UUAUCAGUGGCUAACGAUGUGUAUGGUAAGUACGAAUCGAGAGUUCGAAUCUCUCACUCACCGCCA
rnacentral:tRNA from 1 species